rnacentral:tRNA from 1 species
GCGUCGGUGGUUCAGUGGUAGAAUACUCGCCUGCCACGCGGGUGACCCGGGUUCGAUUCUCGGCCGACGCA